CCCUUAGAUGUUCUGGGCCGCACGCGCGCUACACUGAUGCAUUCAACGAGUCCAACCUUGACCGAGAGGUCCGGGUAAUCUUUGAAACUGCAUCGUGAUGGGGCUAGAUUAUUGCAAUUAUUAAUCUUCAACGAGGAAUGCCUAGUAAGCGUGAUUCAUCAAAUCGCGUUGAUUACGUCCCUGCCCUUUGUACACACCGCCCGUCGCUCCUACCGAUUGAGUGUGUUGGUGAGGAGUUUGGGUUGGCCUCGGAAGGUGGUUCGCCACCGUCCGUAGCUGAGAAGUUCUCCAAACCGCCCCACUUAGAGGAAGGAGAAGUCGUAACA
rnacentral:rRNA from 1 species